AACGAACGCUGGCGGCAUGCCUAACACAUGCAAGUCGAACGAGACCUUCGGGUCUAGUGGCGCACGGGUGCGUAACACGUGGGAAUCUGCCCUUUGCUUCGGAAUAACAGUUAGAAAUGACUGCUAAUACCGGAUGAUGUCGAAAGACCAAAGAUUUAUCGGCAAAGGAUGAGCCCGCGUAGGACUAGGUAGUUGGUGGGGUAAAGGCCUACCAAGCCGACGAUCCUUAGCUGGUCUGAGAGGAUGAUCAGCCACACUGGGACUGAGACACGGCCCAGACUCCUACGGGAGGCAGCAGUGGGGAAUAUUGGACAAUGGGCGAAAGCCUGAUCCAGCAAUGCCGCGUGAGUGAUGAAGGCCUUAGGGUUGUAAAGCUCUUUUACCAGGGAUGAUAAUGACAGUACCUGAAGAAUAAGCUCCGGCUAACUCCGUG
rnacentral:rRNA from 1 species